AGAGUUUGAUCCUGGCUCAGAUUGAACGCUGGCGGCAUGCCUUACACAUGCAAGUCGAACGGCAGCGCGGGGCAACCUGGCGGCGAGUGGCGAACGGGUGAGUAAUAUAUCGGAACGUGCCCUGGAGUGGGGGAUAACGCAGCGAAAGUUGCGCUAAUACCGCAUACGAUCUAAGGAUGAAAGCAGGGGACCGCAAGGCCUUGUGCUCCUGGAGCGGCCGAUAUCUGAUUAGCUAGUUGGUGGGGUAAAGGCCUACCAAGGCAUCGAUCAGUAGCUGGUCUGAGAGGACGACCAGCCACACUGGAACUGAGACACGGUCCAGACUCCUACGGGAGGCAGCAGUGGGGAAUUUUGGACAAUGGGCGCAAGCCUGAUCCAGCAAUGCCGCGUGAGUGAAGAAGGCCUUCGGGUUGUAAAGCUCUUUUGUCAGGGAAGAAACGGUGCGGGCUAAUAUCCCGCACUAAUGACGGACC
rnacentral:rRNA from 1 species